CGAUGGAGGGGGAUAACUACUGGAAACGGUAGCUAAUACCGCAUAACGUCGCAAGACCAAAGAGGGGGACCUUGGGCCUCUUGCCAUCGGAUGUGCCCAGAUGGGAUUAGCUAGUAGGUGGGGUAACGGCUCACCUAGGCGACGAUCCCUAGCUGGUCUGGGAGGAUGACCAGCCACACUGGAACUGAGACACGGUCCAG
rnacentral:rRNA from 1 species